CGGUGGCUGACGAGUGGCGAACGGGUGAGAAUACAUCGGAACGUGCCUAGUAGUGGGGGAUAACUACUCGAAAGAGUAGCUAAUACCGCAUGAGAUCUAAGAAUGAAAGCAGGGGACCUUCGGGCCUUGCGCUACUAGAGCGGCUGAUGGCAGAUUAGGUAGUUGGUGGGAUAAAAGCUUACCAAGCCGACGAUCUGUAGCUGGUCUGAGAGGACGACCAGCCACACUGGGACUGAGACACGGCCCAGACUCC
rnacentral:rRNA from 1 species